CACGAGGAGCUAUCAGAAGGAAACGGCGUACAGCGUAGGAUACCAGUGCUCUAAGCAGGAGGUGUUUUGUGAACAUGACGAUUGUUUUGUUGAAGAAACUUAUAUUUCCGGAAGAAAGGAUGUAUCAUGUCCACGACAUGAAAUACCCCAUAACCAUUUAUUGGAUGCAUCUGUCCUUUUGCAUUACUGGAAAUAGGAUGAUCCAGUUGACAUUCCUGGCGAUACUACCUGCGAGUAUGUUCCUGAAUUGUCGGAACCACAAGUUAUCUGUCGUUUGUUCGAAGAGCUCACUUUGAUCGGAUAGGAUGCAAU